GAGAAGCGAGCGAGCGCGGGAGAAAAAAGCGAGCGAGCGGGCAGCCACAGACCUAACCCGUUUCCCCUCCUGCCGUAGCCGCCGCGCCCCCUUCUCCCCUUCUCCAUGCUCGCUGCUGCCGACGCUGUCUCCGCCCCUCCCCCGCCUCGAGCCAGCUGCCGCCAUGGAGCCUCCGCUCCCCCGCCUCGAGCCACCCCGCACCUCGUCCGUCUCCUCUCGUCCCUCUCACUCGUCUCCUCUCCCGCACCGCCAGCCCCUUCUCUCUCCUCGCCCCAGACAUCUCUCUCCUCCCCCGCGCAAGCCAGCCCCGGACCCGGAGGAAGAGGAGAGAUGCGGGAUCUGGAGGAUGAAGAGGAGAUCCAGGCGUCCCGGCGGUGGCUCGACCGAUGCAUCACUUAUUUUAGAGCGCUAUCCAUGGAUUUGUUGUCUUGUUUGCUUCUGUUCUUGUGUGCUCUAAAAAAGACAACCUGAAAUUAUGCUUGUGUUGUGCAGGUUCAGGACCAGUCCAUGUCCGAGACGACGUUUGGGAGGUUGUCAUUUCAUUGGAUCUUUUGCAAUGUUUCCUCAGAAGGAUGAGCCUAGAGAUAUGGAAGAUCUAAAAGCCUCUGUAAGAUUUUGGUUCUGCAGAAGCCAAUGAUCUGGCACGCUGGGACCUUAACUUCUGGAGUGAACGACUGCGGGAAGCAAAAUACAAUAUUGAUGAGCUUCUUUCUUUACAGAAGUAUAUUAGAAUUAUUGAUGAAAUUAGCUCCUGGCCAUUGCAUCAUUGCAUACUUGUUGGAAUUUGAUUUGCUCAUUAAUCAUAGAUUUAAACUUUUUAGGUCUGAUGUAUGGGAAAAUUAUUUGCAUUCCUCAUCUAUCAUAGAUAUAUUGACAUAUUGCUCUCCUUCAAGGCAUUGUUGGCUAAGAUGUUAUUAUAUAUACGCGACAUGUUAUUGGUUGAAUAUGAUUCAUACUUUACAAACUCCUUAAAACUAGAGUAGGAUCCAAUGAACAGAUGGUGAAAAAUAAACUGAACACUUGCUUUGAUUUGUUCAAAUGUUACAGAAACAGUUAUAACACACUUCUCUUUGCAAGCUGGAUACGAAGAGAAAUAUGUUAAAUAGACGGAAGAAGAAAAAGGUAAGCGUUGGCAAGUCUGUGUUGGAUGCAGUGCAUUGCCACGCCAAAUCCACACUGGUUGAGGAGGUGGCUCUGCAACUUGGAGUCCGGCGUGACGAGGUCUUCAUCACAAUUAGCUCGAGAUGAUGCAAGCGUUCCUCAUGUCCGCCCAGGACGAGAGAUACGAUGCGCUGAUGUAGUUUUGUAACCAAUCAUGUCUUUACACAGGCUUGCUAACCUGCAUGGUCUGCUAUCAUGUAGUUUACUAUUUUUAGGUAAACUUUCAGAGAAAACACAGAGUCUAAUUUUAAGGUGAUUAUGUCUUAUUGGUCUAAGUAGAUGGCGGAAGCACAUAGCUUCCUCUCUCUGUCUCCCUUUGAUUUUGUGCUUGUGAUGUACUGUGCGUUUGUGCAAUUGCUUUGUGAGCUAUGGCUACUACUUGUGCUGCUAGAUGUGUGUGCUGGUUCUGCUGCUGCUGGUUGCUUGUGUUGCUGUUAUGUGUUAUACUGCUACUACCUGCUGCUGGUUGCUUCUUUAUUUGGUUAAUUGUGACACUGAAAAGCCUUUCUGAAAAGCAAAAAUUGAAGAGAAGGCCAUGAGAUGAUGAGAUGACCUUCAUUUUCAAUUUUUAUUUAAUAAUUGAUGAAGGAUAUGUCAUAUAUUCAGUUGCUAACAUUUUUUCUAUGGUGUAUGUACCGGUCGUUCAUUGCAUUCGAGGGAGAGGACAACAAGAGUAAGAGAGCCUUGGGACGCGAAGGCAGUAGCACGCAGCGCCAUGUCAAGCGCACUGACCUCGGCGACAAGAGACAGUACACUUAACAAGACUAGGAGAGCCUUGGGACAACACUGGACGAGGGCGUCGACUAAAGGAGCGCGAAGACGUCUUCCUCCAAAAUCUUGCCGAGGAUUUUGUUGCAACGACGCAGUGCUGACUAUUUUUGUUUUUGGAAUUUGUCAAUGAAAUUCUGCUCGAUCAGGCAGUGGGAGCGCCAUUGAAGACCAUGGGCGCAGCUUGGUCGAGCUACAAUGAGCGCAUCUGAUUCCAACACAUCAAGGGUUGCAUUGGAUAUUCACAGAACUCCAUAUCAUGUAGUUUGGGCAUAUCAUAUACAUUAUCUUCAUAGUUCAUGCAGUUUUAGGCUUUUAGCAGUAUGAAAAGUCAUAGAUAAUGUAAUGGUGACAUUUGGGCUUAUAUAAGUGUUAGUUGUCAGUCUCUGCCCGCAUGCAUUUGAAUGUUGCCUUGGCGACGAUCCUUAGGCUUGUCAAAAGUUGUGAAUCGAUAGGCAUUGACAAAAAAAGAUCUAAGCUCUAUGUUAUGAAAAACAGGUAGAGCAGCAGCUAUAGCACCCCUAGAGAGAUUGCGUUGAUUGAUUCUCAUCGUAUAUAUAACUCAACUGUUUAAAGUAUUCUAUAUACACUGAAAUCGUGCUCAUAAUUUUUUGAAGUAUUCUAUAUACACUGAAAUUGAGCUCAUAAUUUUUUUAUCAUGUACCUUUUCUGCUAAAGAUCAUUACACUUCUCUUUCAUGUACAUCAAUGUUACUUCCAAAGAAGAGUCCCUCCUAGAGAACAGUUUCUUUUGUCAGAAGGGUGAGUGUGUUGUAUAUUUUAUUGUCCACUAAAUCAACUACUUCUGGUUACAUAUUGUGACAAAAUUAAGUAGGCAUAGGCUUCUUCAUUGAUUGAAACUGAAUUUGUAUUGUGUUAAUACAUUAUAGUCAUCCUUGAAGGACUUGUGUUUUAUUGCCAUGCAUGCUUAAUAAUUGCUUGCUGAAGCAUUGGUCCUAAUUUACCACGGGCUUCGCUGGCGUUGUGUUUUCUUUUUGUAUAUGGUUGCUGCAGUGGAGUCUGCGUAGAAGGUCUGCGUCAGGGUAUACAUGGGCGUCACCACCAGCCAGCUCGACGAGCUCGCCGCCGAGACCGCCGCCGCGCUCACCGCCUCCCAGCCUGACUAUGCCUCCCUCGCGGCGAGGAUUGCUGUGUCCAACCUGCUGCCAAGUGGCUAGCCGCCAAGUGGAAAUAGUCUGUCUGGCGCUCGUAAAUAGAGAGCAUUCUGGUAGAAAGGAAUGUUCUUCCAUGCUUUGAUGUGCACAAUCCAGGAAGUGCAUGCAUCCAGAAACCAAAUAGGAUUUUUUGUGUGUUAUCUUCUCAUAAAUCUUGUGCUCGUCCAAUAAGAAUAAGGUUUGGUGGUAUUGCUUUUGUCUGUCAUCCGGUAGAUUUCAGAAUUCAAGGUUGAUUUCAUCUUAAAUAAUCAUAGCUGGGGGACGAGGUUUGUAACUGAGGGUCAUGUGCAGAGCUGGAGGAAGAAGUUGCGAGGCUUGGAACCCUCCUUGUUGCGAGGCUUGGAACUUUCCCUGUGAAGGGCUCAGGGAUAGCAGUGAGGAAAAUGCCUCUUUAGUUGUAAUUGUGCUACUCCUGAUGUGCAAGUAAACACUCCUGUGAUACUCUUUAUGCUAAAAUGUUGGUUCUUAGUACAGAGGUGGUGACAUUAUUUGGUUCUCUGGUAUUGAUUUGAUGAUUUGUGGUUAAUACAUGAUGCAAUACAAUCCACAUAGCAUUAUAUUUUCAGUUA